rnacentral:rRNA from 1 species
UUACGUCCAUAACACGUUGAAACCCUGCUCCCGUACAAUCACCGACGUUAAGCAACGUCAAGCCUGGUCAGUUUCUAGAUGGGUGACCGCUUGGGAAUAACAGGAGCUGUAAG